GGUGAUUUGGAGCUGUUGACGA
rnacentral:siRNA from 1 species